rnacentral:rRNA from 1 species
UGCUUGGGGUCGAUUAGCCAUGCGAGUCGAGAGGGUUCGGCCCUCGGCGGACUGCUCAGUAACACGUGGAUAACCUGCCCUAAGGUGGAGGAUAACCCCGGGAAACUGGGGAUAAUACUCCAUAGGAUACAACUGCUGGAAUGCUCUGUAUCCGAAAGCUCCGGCGCCUUAGGAUGGAUCUGCGGCCGAUUAGGUUGUUGUUGGGGUAACGGCCCAACAAGCCCGUAAUCGGUACGGGUUGUGGGAGCAAGAGCCCGGAGAUGGACUCUGAGACACGAGUCCAGGCCCUACGGGGCGCAGCAGGCGCGAAAACUUUACAAUGCGGGAAACCGUGAUAAGGGAACCCCGAGUGCCCGUAAUCGCGGGCUGUCCGGGUGUGUAAAAAGCACCCGAAGAAAGGGCCGGGCAAGACCGGUGCCAGCCGCCGCGGUAAUACCGGCGGCUCGAGUGGUGACCACUUUUAUUGGGCUUAAAGCGUCCGUAGCUGGAUUGUUAAGUCUCUUGGGAAAUCUCACGGCUUAACCGUGAGGCGUCUAAGAGAUACUGGCAAUCUUGGGACCGGAAGAGGUGAGAGGUACUCCGGGGGUAGGAGUGAAAUCCUGUAAUCCUCGGGGGACCACCUGUGGCGAAGGCGUCUCACCAGGACGGCUCCGACAGUGAGGGACGAAAGCUGGGGGAGCAAACCGGAUUAGAUACCCGGGUAGUCCCAGCCGUAANCGAUGCGCGUUAGGUGUAUCGGCGACCACNAGUCNCUGAGGUGCC